rnacentral:rRNA from 1 species
UGCCUUUCCGUAGGUGAACCUGCGGAAGGAUCAUUACCGAGUGAGGGCCCUCUGGGUCCAACCUCCCACCCGUGUUUAUUUACCUUGUUGCUUCGGCGAGCCUGCCUUUUGGCUGCCGGGGGACGUCUGUCCCCGGGUCCGCGCUCGCCGAAGACACCUUAGAACUCUGUCUGAAGAUUGUAGUCUGAGAUUAAAUAUAAAUUAUUUAAAACUUUCAACAACGGAUCUCUUGGUUCCGGCAUCGAUGAAGAACGCAGCGAAAUGCGAUACGUAAUGUGAAUUGCAGAAUUCAGUGAAUCAUCGAGUCUUUGAACGCACAUGCGCCCUCUGGUAUUCCGGAGGGCAUGCCUGUCCGAGCGUCAUUGCUGCCCUCAAGCACGGCUUGUGUGUUGGGCUCCGUCCUCCUUCCGGGGGACGGGCCCGAAAGGCAGCGGCGGCACCGCGUCCGGUCCUCAAGCGUAUGCCCGCUUUGUCACCCGCUUGUAGGACUGGCCGGCGCCUGCCGAUCAACCAAACUUUUUUCCAGGUUGACCUCGGAUCAGGUAGGGAUACCCGCUGACUUAAGCAUAUCAAUAAGCGGAGGA